rnacentral:rRNA from 1 species
AGCGAUGAAACUUUAACAGAACCCUUCGGGGCGAAGAUAAAGUGGAUUAGCGGCGGACGGGUGAGUAACACGUGAGUAACCUGCCUUAGACAUUGGGAUAGCCUCGGGAAACCGGGAUUAAUACCAAAUAAAAUCAUAAUGACACAUGUCAUAACGAUCAAAACUCCGGUGGUCUAAGAUGGACUCGCGUCCCAUUAGCUAGUUGGUAGAGUAAAAGCCUACCAAGGCGACGAUGGGUAGCCGGCCUGAGAGGGUGAACGGCCACAUUGGAACUGAGAAACGGUCCAAACUCCUACGGGAGGCAGCAGUGGGGAAUAUUGCACAAUGGAGGGAACUCUGAUGCAGCGACGCCGCGUGAACGAAGAAGGCUUUCGAGUCGUAAAGUUCUUUUAUAUGGGAAGAUAAUGACGGUACCAUAAGAAAAAGCCCCGGCUAACUACGUGCCAGCAGCCGCGGUAAUACGUAGGGGGCUAGCGUUGUCCGGAAUCACUGGGCGUAAAGGGUUCGCAGGCGGAAAUGCAAGUCAGAUGUAAAAGGCAGUAGCUUAACUACUGUAAGCAUUUGAAACUGCAUAUCUUGAGAAGAGUAGAGGUAAGUGGAAUUUUUAGUGUAGCGGUGAAAUGCGUAGAUAUUAAAAAGAAUACCGGUGGCGAACGCGACUUGCUGGGCUCAUUCUGACGCUGAGGAACGAAAGCGUGGGUAGCAAACAGGAUUAGAUACCCUGGU